rnacentral:tRNA from 1 species
AUUUAAAUAGUUUAAUUAAAAUAUUAUAUUGAAGAUAUAAUGAUAUAUUUUUAUUUUAAAUAUUUAUAAAUG